rnacentral:misc_RNA from 1 species
CAGGAUUGUCGAAAGACAUCUCCUUACACCAUUUGUGAAUCUACCCAUCUGUUGUGCUUCGGCAGGCGAUCCCCAUAGCGGGUUCCCUAGGCCUGUAAAGGUGCCUGCCGGAGUGCCUCAAACUAUUUUGAUAUCUCGUGGAAUCUCAGAGACGCAAAAGUUAAACAAUAA